rnacentral:rRNA from 1 species
UAUGAACCAGAUAGGUGGGUGUCUGUGAAACCAGUACUGCAUGUUUGUCGGAGCCGUCCUGGUGAAUCUACGCUCGUUGUACUGGGUCUCGAUCUAUACGCCAUUAUUCUUGCCUUGCGACACUAUCCAGUAUGUAUUUUGACUUCUGCCUUCGCGUCCCAAACACUAUCUGAGGCGCUCAAAGGUUCUCUAAGUACGGUCAUAAAUCGUACGUAGAGUGUAAAGGCAAAAGAGAGUUUGAUUGCAAGACAUACAGGUCGAGCAAGGAUGAAAAUCGGACUUAGUGAUCCGGUGGUUCUGCGUGGAAGGGCCAUCG